UGCUAACGUAUUUUUCAAUGUACUGGAUGCACUCAUGGAACAUGUAUGUCAAUCCUUCCUUUUAUUCAAUCACCCAACAACAACCUGAUGCACGACUCAACAGCACAUGUAAGAAGAAAGUAUACUUGGCCGCAACGUGAACAAGCACACUUAUGGUUUACAUAUUGAGGUUACAAAUUAACCUGCCACAACUUAAACUAACGUACAAGACAGAAACACAAUUAACUUCAUCAUUGCCAGACAACAUGGAUCAGAAUGAAAAAAAAUAAAAUAUAGUAAAAAGAACAUGGAUCAGAACGCGGCUGCUCUCACCACUUUUGAGGCUAUUUCUUAGUAUUUCUUAGGCUGCGGCUGCUUCUUCUUAGCUAUCCUCUGUUUUUGCGAGUCAGCUUCAGAUCUUUCCUACGAUUACGCGACUUUUUAGGUUUCUUUGGUUGUGCCUUCGGCUUAUUGGGUGGCGGCGGCGUUCGCUUGUUAUGGGGAACCGUUGUACCUGGAACCUUUGUACAUGUCUUCUCCAUGACGCCUCCU
rnacentral:rRNA from 1 species